rnacentral:tmRNA from 1 species
GGGGGCGAAACGGCUUCGACGGGGAUAAUGAAGCAAUAACUGCAUACCGGGGUCCCGCAUACCUCGUUAAAAAGGCGGAUUUAAACACAAACGCAGACGAUUACGCAUACGCUUUAGCCGCUUAAUUGGCUAACAUCUUUCUACGUUUCUCCUGUGAACUUAGAAAAGGUGUCGACUCUGCAGGAUAGCAUGUUUUGAGUGUCUGUAUCAACUCAUGUGAAAUUUAACAGAAUAGCUUAUUAAAAACUUGUCUAUGGUGAAGUUAAUGGGCGAAAUUUUAAAGAUAGACUAUGUAUGUAGAUGUUCUUGUGGAAUGUUUUCGGACGCGGGUUCAACUCCCGCCGCCUCCACUA